rnacentral:snRNA from 1 species
CAUAACAUUUACAAGAGAUAGAU